rnacentral:sRNA from 1 species
GCCAGGCAUGGUGGCUCAUGCCUGUAAUCCUAGCACUCUGGGAGGCCCAGGCAGGAGGAUCAUUUGAGCUCAGGAGUUCGAGACCAGCCUGAGCAAGAGUGAGACCUCAUCUCUACUGAAAAUAGUAAAAAUUAGCUGGGUGUGGUGGUACAUGCCUGUAAUCCCAGCUAAUCUCAGGAGGCUGAGGCAAGAGAUCACCUGAGCCCAGAAGUUUGAGGUUGUUGUGAGCUAGGCCAAUGCCACGGCACUCUGGCCUGAGUGACAGAGUGAGACUCUGUCUCA